rnacentral:rRNA from 1 species
GAUGAACGCUGGCGGCGUGCCUAAUACAUGCAAGUCGAGCGAACGGACGAGAAGCUUGCUUCUCUGAUGUUAGCGGCGGACGGGUGAGUAACACGUGGAUAACCUACCUCUAAGACUGGGAUAACUUCGGAAAACCGGAGCUAAUACCAGCUGAUAUUUUGAACCGCAGGAAUCAGAAGUGAUAGAGGGUCUUGGUGAUACAAAUAGAUGGAGCCGGGUUGCAUUAGCUAGUUGGUAAGGUAACGGCUUACCAAGGCAACGAUGCAUAGCCGAUCUGAGAGGGUGAUCGGCCACACUGGAACUGAGACACGGUCCAGACUCCUACGGGAGGCAGCAGUAGGGAAUCUUCCGCAAUGGGCGAAAGCCUGACCGAGCAAUACCGCGUGAGUGAAGAAGGUCUUCGGAUCGUAAAACUCUGUUAUUAGGGAAGAAAAUAUGUGUAAGUAACUGUGCACAUCUUGACGGUACCUAAUCAAAAAGCCACGGCUAACUACGUG